AGGGAAGGAACCGUCAUCUUGCACAACUGAAGUAUUGCUCUACAGCAAUGGUACACUACCAAGGUGUCCAGAGUCAAAUGCAUUGGUUCCACUGGUAUUAGCAAUAUACAUGGUGUUUACUAAUAUACUCUUAAUUAACUUGGUUAUUGCUAUGUUUUCGUGAGUAUAUUUCCUCUGUUUACUAACGAUAUUUGUAUUUUAAUCAUUCAUUGAUAUUAAUUAACUCUAAGAAGGAAGGCAAAAAAUAAAUAAUAUGGACUUCUCGUUUAUACCAGAAUGUACUCAUUGCAUUCCAUUAUUACUGGGUGCCAUAGCCUUUGUUGUGAUAAAAUGCUAUUAACAAAAGAUGAAAUUUCCGUAUCAUAUUUCUUUGCACUUGUUUCUUCUCUUUUAGGGAUACAUUUCAGAAAGUGCAUGCAAACUCAGUUUUAGUAUGGAAGUUCUACCGAUAUUCUCUUGUAUAUGAGUACUACGAAAGGCCAUUUCUGAUACCACCAUUGAUAAUAAUUAAUCAUUUGUAUAGGACUCUACAAAUCGUUAUUCUAAAGAGUGAAUUUUGUUCAA
rnacentral:lncRNA from 1 species